rnacentral:rRNA from 1 species
AUGAUGACAUCUAUUCUGGGUGUGGCCGUGAAUUGGAUGGAGUAUAAUGAGCUUAGGGAAGAAGAUACAGCUUCAGCCCAUUUGCUCCUGAGUUUGUGCGAGGCCAGGAUGUUUGCAUCGGCUUUUCAGUUUGUGGUGAGAUUGUGUGAUGUUCUGAGGACUCCACAUCGUCAGCCUGGUCCUCCCGAGUCGCUACGACAGCAGCACCAGAACCUGAACGCUCGCGAAGUUGUUCUUCAGACUCUCCAACAUAACCUUCAGACUCUCCAACAUAACCUUCACACUCUCGAGACCACACUCACCCAGAAGGACAACGAUCUGAGAGUGCUGAGCACCGAGCUUGAUGGUACGCAGAAGACGCUGGAAGACCAGACCGCUUCGCUCCUCACUAACCGGAGGGACCUUGAUCAGACUCGGCAAGGGCUGAUUGCACGUGAAGCACGACUGGUCGCAUCCGAGACGGCGCUGCAGCAACUCCAUAACCAGCUUGUCAAUCGACGUGAAGAGUUGAUAGACCUGCAAAUCCAAGUCGUGCAUCUCACUAUGCUGCUCGACGAGAUGAAUGGCAUUGUCGUGCCACCAGCUGAAGCUCCGCUGCAGCCUCUGCCACCUGCUCGGGCUGGCCCCGGACCAGGACUCCAAGCCCUGAUUCUCCAGUACGGUACCAUGGCCCCUCAAGUCGUUGGAGGGAUUAACCGCCGCAUUGGUGCAGCUCAAGGCCCAGCUCAAGGCGCUGCUCAAGCCCCAGCUCAAGGCGCUGGCGCUGAUGAUGGUGUCCCUGCUAAAGGAGCGGCUCAAGCUCCAGCUCAAGGCCCUGGCGCUGCUCAAGUCCCAGCUCAAGGCGCUGGCGCUGCUGAUGGUGCCCAAGGCGCUGCUCAAGCCGGUGCUGGUCAAGACGUUCACGGCGCUGCUCCAGAUGUGGAGUGA